ACCCUCUCAAGAUUCUGGUACUUCCUACGGUGAGCAUACUUCUAACAAAGUGAGAACAUCAUUAGCUCUGUACACCCACACAGCCAUAUCUUCUAAAUCUCAUACCUUGAAGUAUAAACCUCUGGUGCCUCAAAAUGUGACGCUACUUGAAGAAGGGACCUAAGGAGGUAGUUAAGACAGGCAUCAAAGUGCUGGUGAAAUGAAGAGCAAGGACAGAACCCCGAAGGCUGCCCCAGAGCCCACAGCCAGGACCCUCGGAGAAGACCCCGCUCUCAUCUUCAACAGGGUACCGUUGUCCCAAACAUACAGCAGGAUGUGUCACUGUGGAAAACAGCCACAGGACUCCAGAGACUUGGCAAUUCCUU